CUCUACUUUGCUCUUUUUCCUUCAGACCUUUGUGCUGCUUCAACUAUAAAAACAAAGAAUUUUUUAUUUCAACCCUUAUAAAGAUCAUUUUAUCCCAGGUUUUGCUCCUGAAGAGCAAACAUUAACAGCUUUUUGCGAACGUAAAGUUUGCUUUUCCAUGGCACAUGCUCCAUGGCGGUUAAGCCCCCUCCCAGCCAUAUUUUUGUUUGUGUGACCCCCUUGUUUUGUUCUCCCUCCUACCCCUGAAAGGACAGCAUUGUGACUUCUUCGCUUCCUCAACAUUUAAGUGGUAACAAAACGUCUCUGAUAGCACUCUUUAAGAAAAGAGGAACUUUUUGUGGUCUGCUGUACCGGCAUCGUGUGCUCAGCUCUGUGGUUACUGCUGACCUUCAAAGACCCGAUGAGUGUUUAUAACCAAGUUUUUAAGAAAUUAAUAGUUUGAGAUUUAAGUUGAGGCUGACUCAAAGUUUUGACAUCUGACUGCUUGGCAGUGGACACAACCAGACAUCCUGACUCCUUUCCAGGCACAAGGUGAUGUCCAGCCAAAGUCCUCUUCUUCAGGUCAACGGGUCAUCGCCAGCUGUACCCUCACGCUCCGACUAUGACCGGGCCAUGAAGGAUUGUGAAUUCUCAGAGAAAGCUUCUCCCACAUCACGCAGCGGACUCCUCCCUCGGCUCUGACCUAGAGACAAUCCUCCUUCACCCGCUGGAUCUCACUCUGCUGAAGCCUGACCAUAGAAGACCCGGAUUGCACAUUCUAACAAUUGUAUACCAAUAAAUGUUUGUAACCCAUCCCUGGGAUUCUGAGCCUUCUUCUGAGUCCAAACCUGUCAGCCCCAUGACACAAACAUAUACAUACUGCCGAUGCUGCUGAGGAAAGUUGUUGCCAGAAGCGCCAACAUGAGCAGUUUGCCGCGAUGGACAUCAUAGCUGCAGAUAUGCUUUGUAACAAGAAUGUGUGAACUUCAGAUGGACGGCCUCAGCUGGAACGUCACAAGGCGUCCUGAGAGAAAAAGUUCGGUUUCUCAGGCUCAGGAUGCUGUGGGCCAUGAAAGCUCCAUGAAAGUACUUCACGAAUGUCACGGUGUCAUCAAACAGGUCUGGAAUCCAGAAUUUUAAGGUCGGAAAGUUAUGUUGUGUUAAUGGGUUUCAUGUUAAAAGAA